CAAUAGCGUAUAUUAAAGUUGUUGCGGUUAAAAAGCUCGUAGUUGGAUUUCUGCUGAGAACGACCGGUCCGCCCUUUGGGUGUGUAUCUGGCUCUUUCUUGGCAUCUUCUUGGUGAACGUUGCUGCACUUGACUGUGUGGAGCGCUACCCAGGACUUUUACUUUGAGGAAAUUAGAGUGUUUCAAGCAGGCAUACGCCUUGAAUACAUUAGCAUGGAAUAAUAAGAUAGGACCUCGGUUCUAUUUUGUUGGUUUCUAGAGCUGAGGUAAUGAUUAAUAGGGAUAGUUGGGGGCAUUCGUAUUUAACUGUCAGAGGUGAAAUUCUUGGAUCGGCUAAAGACGGACAACUGCGAAANCGNNNGCCCAGGAUGUUUUCAUNGA
rnacentral:rRNA from 1 species